rnacentral:rRNA from 1 species
CAUUAAGUAAUCCGCCUGGGGAGUACGACCGCAAGGUUGAAACUCAAAAGAAUUGACGGGGGCCCGCACAAGCGGUGGAGCAUGUGGUUUAAUUCGAAGCUACGCGAAGAACCUUACCAGGUCUUGACAUCUUCUGCCAACCUAAGAGAUUAGGCGUUCCCUUCGGGGACAGAAUGACAGGUGGUGCAUGGUUGUCGUCAGCUCGUGUCGUGAGAUGUUGGGUUAAGUCCCGCAACGAGCGCAACCCUUAUUACUAGUUGCCAGCAUUCAGUUGGGCACUCUAGUGAGACUGCCGGUGACAAACCGGAGGAAGGUGGGGACGACGUCAAAUCAUCAUGCCCCUUAUGACCUGGGCUACACACGUGCUACAAUGGAUGGUACAACGAGUCGCGAAACCGCGAGGUUUAGCUAAUCUCUUAAAACCAUUCUCAGUUCGGACUGUAGGCUGCAACUCGCCUACACGAAGUCGGAAUCGCUAGUAAUCGCGGAUCAGCAUGCCGCGGUGAAUACGUUCCCGGGCCUUGUACACACCGCCCGUCACACCAUGAGAGUUUGUAACACCCAAAGCCGGUGGG